UAGUAAAAUAAAUUAAAUUUUAAAAUUUUGAGAUAUUGUAUUCAUAAUAAGUGUUGUAUUGUUUGCUGCCUCCUCAUCCUCUCACGUGAAGGACUUACACAGGGGCCAGUUGGACUGAGAGUAUUGUGGCUGGCUAAGACUGGCUAAUGUCAAAGGGAUAUCGCCUGGAAAGUAGUCUCUGCUCUAAUAGUAUUGAACGUUUAUUAACAAAGUAGUUUUUUUUUUUCCUGGUACUAGGGAUCAAACUGGACCUUGUGCUUGUGAGGCAGGCGUGGCGCCACUGAGCUAAAUCCCUGGCCUCAGAGCUAGAUGUUUGAUAGAAGAAGCUUCUGCAUAUAUUUUUGGUCUAAAAUUUUCAGUUUUCUUUGGAACAAUUUUAGAUCUACCAAAACUUUGUAGAAGAGAGUUCCUAUGCCCUCACCCGAAGUCAGCUUCCCCUCAUCUAGUCGUGUAUUGCUGUGGGAUGUUUGCCCAAACUGAGAAGCCAGCAUUGGUGUGUUUCCGUUACUCCAGUUUUUCUGUUCUGUCCUAUUCUGGGACUCAGUACAGGACACCACCUUGGUCUGUUGUUAUUGCUCCUUAGUCUCCUCUGGUUUGUGACAGUUUCUCAGUCUUACCCUUGGUUUUCAUCACCUUAACAGUUUUGAGGCAAAUGAGAUAGGCAGGGUUCAGAAUGUCCCUCAGUUGGGGUUUCCCUGGGGUGGCAGGUUUCUGGUAGGACCACAGAGGCGCCAUGGCUUUAUUGUGACAUCAUCUUGAGUGUACAGUGUUACCACAUGAUGUCACUUUGUUACCCUUCAUCACUUCGUUAAGGUGGAAGCUGACUAAUUUUUCCUUUACAUGGGAAAUCUCUGGGAAAAUGAGCCAUUUCUCCAAGGAGCCCUGAUGCCUCUCAUCUACUACCUGGAAUGUGAAUGUGACAUCUGUCAUUCUGCUGCCAUUUUGGGCCAUGAGGAUGAGCGAAGUGGACAAACACCAUAAUGAUGGCAGACCAGUGAGCUAGGUGGAGCCUGUAUUCCUGCAGACUUCAUGAGCAAAGCCACCAUACCUGUCCUCAGCCACCCACUCCUGUCCUUUACCUGAGAGAGAAAUAAAAUCUUAUUUAACCACUGUUAUUUUUGGGGCAUUUGUUACUUGUGGUUAGACCUAAUUUCAACUUGUACAAUACACCGAUGCCUAAAGCAAUGUCUGGCACAGAGUGGGCAAUUCAGUAAGUGGCAGUAGCUGUUAUUAUUUUGUGUCCAAUAAUGGAUACAUUGAAGUCAAAUUAUAAAAGGGCUUGAAAGUCAAGGACAGAAGUCUGACCUGGAUGUGAGGCACUUUACCGUUUGACUUGAGAACAACUUGACCAAAAU
rnacentral:lncRNA from 1 species